rnacentral:pre_miRNA from 1 species
AAUAAAUGCAGUCGUGAAUAUCCGUGCCCAACGUUUGACCGUCCGUCUUAUUUGAAAAAUUUGAAAAUAUUUAGUCACACAUAAAGUACUAUUCAUGUUUUAUCAUCUAAUAGCAAUAAAAAUACUAAUCAUAAAAUUUUUUUAAAUAAAACGAACGGUCAAACAUUGAACGUGAAUAGUGUAAAACUACAGUUAUU